GGAAUACACACUAAUUAGGAGUCUAGAUUGGCUCUCUUUAACACUCCUCUAGUUGGAACAUAUAACGGAUGCAUUGUAGGCCAGACCUGUGAGAGACGUGGUCCACCCAAUAAAGAAGUCAGUAGCAACAAGGGAAGUAGCAGGUGAUUCAGCAACUUGAAGUUUGCUAGAGGCAGGAGUUUAAUUGCAACAUUUUUAAUUAGGAAGUUUUAUUUAUUGGUCUUCUUAUUUCAGGAAAACAUCUUGAUUGUCUGUUCCUAUUUUGAGAUGAGAAAUCUGUGAUGUAAUCUCUAUAUAAGAGUAGCAUAUUAUGAAUAAAAAUUAAGCAGAAUUAUUAUUCCAAACUUCCUAAGGUUUUGAGCUCCCUCAAACGAGCUCUAAAUUCAGUCAGCAUAGCUUUUUCAUGUCGCCGCAUAAAUAAUAACAAAGGGAACGUUCUUUUUU
rnacentral:misc_RNA from 1 species